UACGUAGGGGGCGAGCGUUGUCCGGAAUCAUUGGGCGUAAAGAGCGUGUAGGUGGCUUGGAAAGUCUUACGUGAAAGCCUGCGGCUCAACCGCAGAAGUGCGUAGGAAACUUCCUCGCUAGAGUCCGGAAGAGGAGACUGGAAUUCCUGGUGUAGCGGUGAAAUGCGCAGAUAUCAGGAGGAACACCGAUGGCGAAGGCAGGUCUCUGGGCAUUAACUGACGCUGAGGAGCGAAAGCAUGGGGAGCGAACAGG
rnacentral:rRNA from 1 species